rnacentral:lncRNA from 1 species
GCAAAACGUCUUGGCGAGUCUGGGAAGUUGUGCACUGUCUGGGCUUUACUAUAUACUGUAGUGGGUUCAGUAUACUGAAUUUGCGAUUCUGUGCUCUGUAGUAACUGUGGGCUACAUGAGCAUUAGUCUUUGGUGGGCCAAGCCGUGCACGUGGAGGCUACAUAGUACACGUACUCUCUGUUGUACUCGCAAAAGCCGGUGAUGCAUGCCAACGAAAAUUGAUAGUGGGGUAAUUUUACGCACUGAAUCACUAACCAGUAACUACGGAGUAUAUGAUACCCAGUUUCCCACGGUCUAUGGUGUCUAGACUCUACUUGGGUACAUGGUCUGGUGUACGGACUUGUAUGGAGCUGAUGUUGCUAGCGGUUACAAUCUGCUACCGCCAGACAAUCAUAAAACCAUUGUGUGGAUAAGACCAGGUUCUGACAGUUACAUGAAACGUGCACGAUUGUUUUGUCUAGCAUUAUAAAUCAUCAUGAUGCUUCUUGAAUAGCCAUACAGGUUCUAGGUCUGUAGCCCUGAUUCGGUACAAAAAGAGUCAGUGAUUGACCAGAUAACAACUAACCCAGCUCUUGUCAUUGGCGCUCGAAAUACUCGAUUUAUCAAUAUUCAUUUUCUUUUCAUCGGAUGUAUAUAAAAAAAACGCAAAAAGAAAUGGGGCUAACUGGGAAUCGAACCCAGGACCACUCCCACCCUAAGGGAGUAUCGUACCAC